CUCUACGAAAUUGGUUCUGCCCCUUUCGUUGGCGAGAACGCGAGAGAGAUCUCCGGUUCUUGAAUUUGGUUCUGAGCUUUGAUAUUGCAGGUUUGAUUGUGGUGGUGCGAGAAGAUUAACUGGAUUGAUUGCGGAGAUCUGGACUGGUGCGAGGUGCGACGGUGUCCAUGGAGGAAGAGGAUUCACGAUUCUGGGUUUUGCGACUUGAAGGAAGACGAAGGCGGUGUUGAUGACUGGAAGAAGAGCGGGGGAAAUGAUGCUAAUCGUAGGUCUGUGGUGGUGAUUUCUGGUUGCAGGUCACGCAAAUGGAGAUGGCUCUCGUUGAUGGUGGUGGCGCGGCGUAGGGAAAAUGGUGGUCGAAGNGUGGUGGCCAUGGAUGUUGCUGUUAGCGGCGCGAUUUCGAGGAAGAUGGUGUGCUGAUGUGCGAUUCGUGAUGACGGUGAGAUGAUGGAAUCAGCGAUCUGGGUUGCAGGUGAUGAAGGUUGACGGCGGUGGCUUCGAAAGUUGACGGCUAGGGUUUCANUGCAGAGGGAAAUUAGGGUUUCAGUGUGGAAGAUGAUGACGUGGCAAGAAGAUGAGGUGGCAUGUUCUGAUUGAAUCUGGUUUAUUUAGUGGUAGGAGGGGUAUGGGUAGGAAAAUUAGGAGGUGUAGGAGAAAAGGGUUACUGGGCUUCAGAAUUGGCCUGGUUUAGAUGAGANGGGUGCAUGUAGGGAAAUCUGGGGGUGCAAGGGUAAAAUUGACUGUUUGGCCCAUUUGUACAUUAUUUAUGAAAUAAAAUCUGAUUUUGGGCUUUAAAUUGCAAUUUGGACCAAUAAAUCUCUAACUUCAGCUGCACAAAUAAAUAUUAGAACAUCCAAGAAUAAUUUAUGCAAUUAAAAUCACUUUUUAAGCCUCUUUAAUUCCAAAACCUAACAAUUCAACUCCACACAUAUUCACUUUAAAUCACCCAUUUAAGCAC
rnacentral:lncRNA from 1 species